UGGGGAAUAUUGCACAAUGGGCGCAAGCCUGAUGCAGCCAUGCCGCGUGUAUGAAGAAGGCCUUCGGGUUGUAAAGUACUUUCAGCGGGGAGGAAGGUGUUGAGGUUAAUAACCUCAGCAAUUGACGUUACCCGCAGAAGAAGCACCGGCUAACUCCGUGCCAGCAGCCGCGGUAAUACGGAGGGUGCAAGCGUUAAUCGGAAUUACUGGGCGUAAAGCGCACGCAGGCGGUCUGUCAAGUCGGAUGUGAAAUCCCCGGGCUCAACCUGGGAACUGCAUUCGAAACUGGCGGGCUAGAGUCUUGUAGAGGGGGGUAGAAUUCCAGGUGUAGCGGUGAAAUGCGUAGAGAUCUGGAGGAAUACCGGUGGCGAAGGCGGCCCCCUGGACAAAGACUGACGCUCAGGUGCGAAAGCGUGGGGAGCAAACA
rnacentral:rRNA from 1 species